CAGCACCUCAAGUGGUCAGGAUGAUUAUUGGGCCUAAAGCAUCCGUAGCCGGCGCUGUAAGUUUUCGGUUAAAUUUGUACGCUCAACGUACAGGCUGCCGGGAAUACUGCAGCGCUAGGGAGUGGGAGAGGUAGACGGUACUCGGUAGGAAGGGGUAAAAUCCUUUGAUCUAUUGAUGACCACCUGUGGCGAAGGCGGUCUACCAGAACACGUCCGACGGUGAGGGAUGAAAGCUGGGGGAGCAAGCCGGAUUAGAUACCCGAGUAGUCC
rnacentral:rRNA from 1 species